AAAAAGGUGAACCCUGGUUUCCGUGUCCAACUUUGACUGUCCAUCUUAUAUAAUUUUUUUUAUAAUUCAUAUUUUCAUUGUUGUUAGAUGAUAAAACAUGAUUAAAAUUUUGUGCGUUAUUUGUCUUUUUAAUUUUUUUCAUAAUUUUUUCAAAUAAGACGGACGGUCAAACGUUGGUC
rfam:Oryza sativa Japonica Group DNA, chromosome 4, cultivar: Nipponbare, complete sequence.